UGGGGAAUCUUGCGCAAUGGGCGAAAGCCUGACGCAGCGACGCCGCGUGGGGGAAGAAGGCUUUCGGGUUGUAAACCCCUUUCAGGAAGGACGAAGCCACUCGGGUGAAUAGCCCAGAGGGUGACGGUACUUCCAGAAGAAGCCCCGGCUAACUACGUGCCAGCAGCCGCGGUAAUACGUAGGGUGCGAGCGUUGCCCGGAUUUAUUGGGCGUAAAGGGCGCGUAGGCGGCUUGGCACGUCCGUUGUGAAAUCGCCCGGCUCAACUGGGCGGGGUCAGCGGAUACGGCCGAGCUUGAGCAAGCUAGGGGGCAAUGGAAUUCCCGGUGUAGUGGUGGAAUGCGUAGAUAUCGGGAGGAACACCAGUGGCGAAGGCGGUUGCCUGGGGCUUUGCUGACGCUGAUGCGCGAAAGCGUGGGGAGCGAUC
rnacentral:rRNA from 1 species